rnacentral:tmRNA from 1 species
AGACUCUUUUAUGAUGGGGGCGAAAUAGGAUCGACAAGGGCGUAAAGACUGCUCUUUUACUCGGCAUUGUACCACCGUUAUCGGGCUAACUUAGUAGUUGCAAAUGACAACUAUGCGGAAGCUCGUCUCGCUGCUUAAUUGCGGUGCGAAAGCUUCAACUUAAGUCUUGAGCCGUCGCAGGUUCAAGCGGGGUUCGGAGGCACCUGGCAACAGAAGCA